rnacentral:rRNA from 1 species
AACCAUAGGCCAUGAAUCUGGUCUUGGGACACUGUCAGGUGGGCAGUUUGACUGGGGCGGUCGCCUCCCAAAAGGUAACGGAGGCGCUCAAAGGUUCUCUCAGUACGGUCGGAAAUCGUACGUAGAGUGUAAAGGCAAAAGAGAGCUUGAUUGCAAGACAUACAGGUCGAGCAAGGAUGAAAAUCGGACUUAGUGAUCCGGUGGUUCUGCGUGGAAGGGCCAUCGCUCAACGGAUAAAAGCUACCCUGGGGAUAACAGGCUUAUCUCCCCCAAGAGUCCACAUCGACGGGGAGGUUUGGCACCUCGAUGUCGGC